AGCCUUAUGGUAAAAUUUAUAUAUAAGGUUAUUUCUGCCCAGUGAAUAAAUUUUAACGGCCGCAGUACCCUGACUGUGCUAAGGUAGCAUAAUAAAUUGACUUUUAAUUGAAGUCUAGAAUGAACGGAAAAAUGGGGAAAGUCUGUCUAUGUCUUAAUUGUAUUUAACUUACUUAAAAGGUGAAAAUUCCUUUAGCUUUAGAUUAAAGACGAGAAGACCCUUAGAAUUUUUAUAAAACAUAUUAUUAUAGUAUUUUAUUUUUGUUGGGGUGACAAAGUAGAAAUAAAUAACCUACUUUUAUUUUUAAGCCGAAUAAAUUAUGAAAGAAUAAAUUACCUUAGGGAUAACAGCAUAAUUCUUGUUAGAGAUUGUGACCUCGAUGUUGGACUAGGAACUUUAUAAUUAGUAAUUAAAGUUGAUGGUUCUGUUCGAACUUUUCCUCCU
rnacentral:rRNA from 1 species